AGCAGCUGCUCGGGACAGAGGGACAACUGCUCGGGACAGAGGGACAACUGCUCGGGACAGAGGGGCGAUAGCAGCUCGGGACAGAGGGGCGAUAGCUGCUCGGGACAGAGGGGCGGCAGCUGCUCGGGACAGAGGGGCAGCUGCUCGGGACAGAGGGACAGCUGCUCGGGACAGAGGGACAGCUGCUCGGGACAGAGGGGCGGCAGCAGCUUGGGACAGAGGGGCGAUAGCUGCUCGGGACAGAGGGGCGGCAGCUGCUCGGGACAGAGGGGCGGCAGCUGCUCGGGACAGAGGGGCAGCUGCUCGGGACAGAGGGACAGCUGCUCUGGACAGAGGGGCAGCUGCUCGGGCGGCCCCUGGCUGACUGACGGCACUGGCGGCCCCUGGCUUACUGGCGGCCCCUGGCUGACUGGCGGCACUGGCGGCCCCUGGCUUACUGGCGGCCCCUGGCUUACUGGCGGCACUGGCGGCCCCUGGCUGACUGGCGGCACUGGCGGCCCCUGGCUGACUGGCGGCACUGGUGGCCCCUGGCUGACUGGCGGCACUGGCGGCCCCUGGCUGACUGGCGGCACUGGCGGCCCCUGGCUGACUGGCGGCACUGGCGGCCCCUGGCUGACGGGCGGCACUGGCGGCUCCUGGCAGACGGGCGGCACUGGCGGCUCCUGGCAGACGGGCGGCACUGGCGGCGCUGGCGCCGCUGGGCAGACGGGCGGCGUUGGCGGUGCUGGGCAGACGGGAGGCUCAGCUGGCGCUGGGCAGACGGGAAGCUCAGCUGGCGCUGGGCAGACGGGAGGCUCAGCUGGCGCUGGGCAGACGGGAAGCUCCGGCAAUGCUGGAGAAGAGGAAGGCCCUGGUAGCGCCGGAGAGGCGGGAGACUCCGGCAGCGGCGCCGGACAGGCGGGAGGCUCCGGCAGCGGCGCCGGACAGGCGGGAGGCUCCGGCAGCGGCGCCGGACAGGCGGGAGGCUCCGGCAGCGGCGCCGGACAGGCGGGAGGCUCCGGCAGCGGCGCCGGACAGGCGGGAGGCUCCGGCAGAGGCGCCGGACAGGCGGGAAGCUCCGGCAAUGCUGGAGAAGAGGAAGGCCCUGGU
rnacentral:lncRNA from 1 species